UCCUGUCGGGCACUUCGAGUCUUGUCUGUGGAGGGGCCUUGACAGCGAUCACCGUCUGCUCCUUAAAGUUGCCAACAGCACGGAUGUCCUGACUAUCUUGGGAGCCUGGGUGGCUCAGUCAGUUGAGCGUCUGACUUCGGCUUGCGUCAUGAUCUUGAGGUCCUGGGAUCGAGCCCCGCAUCAGGCUCCCCGCUCCACAGGGAGUCUGCUUAUCCCUUUUCCCUUCUUGUGCUCUCUCUUUCUCUCUCAGAUUAAGUAAAUAAAAUAUUAAAAAAAAAAA